UCUUAAAAGAUUUGCUAAAGAACUAUAUAUUCUUUUGAGUAAGUAAACUGAAAAGAUUAUGUACAUAUGUUUUUAGGAAUAUAAUUUAAAGUAACCAAAUUUUUCUAAAUAUACAUGUCUUAAAUUUCUUUCAUACAAAUUUCGAGGACGAAAUUUUUUUAAGAGGGGUAGUAAUGUAACACCCCAAAUUUUAUAAACUAGUAUUUUCUUUAUAUUAUUAAUUUAAGUAUUUUUAUAAAAUAAAUUUGAUGAUUUAGUUAUAUUUUCACAAUAGUUUGUGAAAAUAAUUUAUUUAAAGAGUAUACAAUAUCAUGUUAGUCCUAGUUAUAUGUCUAAAGCGUGAGAAUGUUUAAAUAAUUAUUUUCUUGAAAAUAAACUUUAGAUAAAGAAAACCUAUAGAUCUAAUCUAUUAAUUAAAUGUAAACUAUGGUUGAAAUUUUAGAACUGAGAGUGUAAAAGUAUACACCGUUAAAAAUAAAUAGUUUAUAAAAAUAUGUUGGAAAUAAAUAGUUUAUUUCCGAAUUAUUUUAUGUGUGCUUUGAUAGUAUAUUUAUUUUGUGUAGACUGAUAAUUAAUAUUUUCUCUAGACUGUGAAUUUAAGAAAAAUAAUUUUAGAAAUCAAUCAUGAAAUAUUUCAGUAGACUAUGAUAAAAGUUUGGGCUUAAAAUUCAACCGGAUUUCUGACAGUUGUUUACUCAACAGUAUAAUUUUAAUCCCAGAAAAAGAAAAGAAAAACAUCUUUUAGACCAGAAAAAUAUCUAUGUUAUUAAAAUUAAAUGAAAAAUAAAAUGAAAGAUUAAGAGAUAAGCAUGCAUUUAAUUUUAAGAUAAGAACUACACCUAUGCAUACAAGGUGGCUAAUUUUUCUUCACAAAUUGAAAGUGAAAACGUGGACUGAGAAUUUACCAUGUAGCAGUAGAAUUAGAAAUCUAUAAAUAGGGUCUUAACAUUCACUUUUUACACACAAUUAUCACUCUCACAACUCACAAAAAGCUAGGAAUUUCAAUUAAGGUAUCAUAGAAGAAGGCGAUCGUUCAAGUUAUUUUGGAAAGCUCUGAGUUAGUGCAGGAUACUAAGACCUCAAGUUGAAGUUCAUUGAAAAAAAGAAAAAUGGCAUUGUGAGAGACAUUAAAAUAAAGAACGUUAGUGCUGAUUGGUGGUCUAGUUUUAUUUUCGAAGUCCGAAGAGAAAAAUCUCUUUGAUAUGUAUUGAUGACGUCAUUGGAGUACUCUCUAGGUGACAUGUAUCUUUGGUGUUUGACCAGCUUGUGAUCAUUUGUGGGUUAGAGUCUUUUGUAGGAAUUUAUUUUUUAUCAUUUUAAAUUGAAAAAUUGUACGAUACUUAUGUGAAAUGGAAAUGUUUUAUAUUUGAAAAUCCUUUGAGCAAAAUUACUAGAUGAUUGUUUGAUAUAAGUGAUGCACAUUAUUUAUGGGCUUACCUCCGAUUUACAUAAAGUGUA